UUUUCCCUUUCUUUUUUCUCCAAAAGAAAAUUGCUAAAAGAUUUACCUCAAAUAUCUGGACUUAACUCCGGUCCACUUUCGACCGAAAAAACACUCCGGUCCACUGAAAUAGUUGAGCCUAGACAAUUGAAUAUUAUUGGGUUACCUGCGCAAGCAACAACGUCUGGGCUACCCGUGUAAAAAAAGGCCGAUACUUUCGGCCUCAGAGUUUUGACCCAAUUUCUACAAAGGCCCCUACUCGGAGCCCCGGAUGCCAGAGCAAACAAAGCCUUGGUUAUUUCUUGAGGAGGAAGAAGAAGAAGAAUACUAGAAUAGGGAGCUGGGAGCUGAGUAGGCGGCAAAAGGCGUAAAAUUUGUCAAGCAUCUGAACCAAGAGAGAGCAAGCGAAACUGGUUAUUAUCAAAGAUGUCCAGGAGAUAUGAUAGCCGUACAACCAUCUUUUCCCCUGAGGGUCGUCUCUACCAAGUUGAGUAUGCAAUGGAGGCCAUUGGAAAUGCGGGUACUGCAAUUGGGAUUUUGUCAAAAGAUGGGGUUAUCUUAGUUGGUGAGAAGAAAGUCACAUCCAAACUCCUCCACUCCACAACUUCCACUGAGAAAAUGUACAAGAUUGAUGACCAUGUUGCAUGUGCUGUGGCUGGCAUAAUGUCUGAUGCCAACAUCCUGAUAAACACUGCUCGGGUCCAGGCUCAGCGCUAUAUGUUUGCGUACCAAGAACCAAUGCCCGUUGAGCAGCUUGUUCAAUCUCUUUGUGAUACUAAGCAGGGCUACACACAGUUUGGUGGUCUCCGGCCCUUUGGUGUUUCAUUUUUGUUCGCGGGUUGGGACAAGAAUUUCGGUUUUCAACUUUACAUGAGUGACCCUAGUGGAAACUAUGCUGGCUGGAAGGCUGCAGUGAUUGGUGCGAACAACUAAGCGGCUCAAUCGAUGCUUAAACAGGAUUACAAGGAUGAUAUGACUAGGGAAGAGGGAGUUCAGCUAGCACUGAAGGUGCUCAGUAAAACCAUGGACAGCACAAGUCUCACUCCGGAGAAGCUUGAAUUGGCUGAGGUUUUCGGCUCACCUUCUGGGAAAGUGAAGUAUCAAGUUUGUCCACCUGCAUCUUUCAGUAAGUUGUUGGAGAAGGUUGGUGUGAACCAACCAUCUACUGAGGAUUCCUAGGUUUUGACUAGAUUUUUUUCCUGAGAAUGUAGUUUUGGAGCAAGUUUGAACUUUAUGUUGUUUGACACAUGGUGUGAUUACAUUGUUUGCGCUUAA